CCUACGGGAGGCAGCAGUGAGGAAUAUUGGUCAAUGGGCGUAAGCCUGAACCAGCCAAGUCGCGUGAGGGAGGAAGGUACUGUGUAUCGUAAACCUCUUUUAUAAGGGAAUAAAGAGUGGGACGUGUCCUCGUUUGUAUGUACCUUAUGAAUAAGCAUCGGCUAACUCCGUGCCAGCAGCCGCGGUAAUACGGAGGAUCCGAGCGUUAUCCGGAUUUAUUGGGUUUAAAGGGUGCGUAGGCGGCCUUUUAAGUCAGCGGUGAAAGUCCGUGGCUCAACCAUAGCAUGGCCGUUGAAACGGGGGGGCUCGAGUAGGUUUGAGGCAGGCGGAAUGCGUGGUGUAGCGGUGAAAUGCAUAGAUAUCGCGCAGAACCCCGAUUGCGAAGGCAGCAUGCCAAGCCAAGACUGACGCUGAUGCACGAAAGCGUGGGGAUCAAACAGGAUUAGAUACCCGUGUAGUC
rnacentral:rRNA from 1 species